UGACACGUAUUUCAUCAUGUCCUCCUGCUUUGUACGAAAUUCCCAACACCUUUUCUCGUUUCCGGAAGCAUACAUAGGAACAACGAUGAAAACAAAGUCCACCUGUCCAGCAACCCCACCCCUUGGAAUCAAUAAACCCCAUUAAUUCCAAGGACAUUAUUCGUGCUUAUUUCUGGCAACCUGUUGGCAUUAAUUUGCUUCCCAAGUAGUCACGACUUACGUACCCGUAAAAGCCACCCCCCUCCACCCGUCAUUCUUCAGUCUCCUCUGAGGUCGUCUCAGACAAGGGAAAGUGAGCGGGUGCAGGCAAUGGCGUCCCUCCGCCGCCUUCCCCUCCUCCUCCUCCUCCUCCUCCUUGAACUCGGGCCAUUGGCUGCGGCAGCGGAGGACGGGUCGGAUGUCGAGGCCCUCCUCUCCCUCAAAGCCGACUUCUCCGACGCCACCUCCGCCGUCCUAUCCGCCUGGAACUCUUCCGCUGAUGAUGAUCACUGCUCGUGGCCGGGCGUCUCCUGCGACCCCCUCCAGGGCUUCGUUGUCUCCCUUGACCUCACCGGUCUCAACCUCUCCGGCACGUUGUCCCCCGCCGUUGGCCGCCUCCGUCACCUCCUCAACCUCUCCGCCGCCUCCAACUCGCUCUCCGGCCCCAUCCCCGCCGAGCUCUCCCGCCUGUCCGAUCUCCGCCACCUCAACCUCUCCAACAACCUCUUCAACGGUUCCUUCCCCUCCGCCCUCGCCCGCCUCAAGAAUCUCCUCGUUCUCGACCUCUACAACAACAACCUCACCGGCCCCCUCCCCACCGAGGUCGCCGAGCUCCCCGAGCUCCGCCACCUCCACCUCGGCGGCAACUUCUUCACCGGUGUCAUCCCCCCUGAGUUCGGCCGCUGGGAGUUCCUCGAGUACCUUGCUGUCUCCGGCAAUGAGCUCGGCGGCCCGAUACCGCCGGAGCUGGGCAAACUCACCACCCUCCGUCAACUCUACCUUGGCUACUUCAACAGCUUCGAGGGCAGGAUCCCACCGGAGAUCGGCGGCCUCGCGGCGCUUGUCCGCCUCGACAUGGCCAACUGCGGCCUCUCGGGCGAGAUUCCUCCCGAACUUGGCAACCUCCAGAACCUCGAUACGAUCUUCCUCCAGGUGAACGGCCUCACCGGUGACCUGCCGCCGGAGAUGGGCCGCCUCCGCAGCCUCAAGUCCAUGGAUCUCUCCAACAACGCCCUCGCCGGCGAGAUUCCCGCCACAUUCGCCGACCUCCAGAACCUGACCCUUCUCAACCUCUUCCGCAACAAGCUUCACGGAUCGAUCCCAGAGUUCAUCGCCGACCUGCCGACGUUGGAGGUACUCCAGCUCUGGGAGAACAACUUCACCGGCGGUAUUCCGCGGCGACUAGGCCAGAGUGGCCAGCUAGAGCUCCUCGACCUUUCGUCGAACAAGCUCACCGGUAACCUCCCUCCGGACCUCUGCUCCGGCAACAGGCUUCAAACCCUCAUCGUCCUCGGGAACUUCCUCUUCGGCCCCAUACCGGAUACACUCGGCCGGUGCGAAUCCCUCAGCCGCAUCCGAAUGGGUGAGAACUACCUCAACGGAUCGAUCCCCGACGGUCUGCUCAGCUUGCCCAGGCUCUCCCAGAUCGAACUCCAGGACAAUCUGCUCACAGGCGGGUUUCCAGACACCGGCGCCGCCCUCAUCUCGCCGGACCUCGGCCAGAUUAGCCUCUCCAACAACCGGCUCUCGGAGCCGCUUCCACCGUCUGUCGGCAACUUCUCCGGCGUCCAGAAGCUUCUCUUGAACCAAAACCAGUUCUCCGGCCGCAUCCCGCCGGAGAUCGGGAGGCUGCAGCAGCUCUCUAAGGUGGAUUUCAGCGGGAAUCAGUUCUCCGGGCUGAUAUCGCCGGAGAUUAGCCAGUGCAAGCUUCUAACCUUUGUGGACCUCAGCCGGAAUGAGCUAUCUGGCGAGAUCCCAUCGGAGAUAACCGGGAUGAGGAUAUUGAACUACCUGAACUUAUCCCGGAACCAGCUCGAGGGGAACAUCCCGUCGUCCAUCGCCACGAUGCAGAGCCUCACGGCCAUUGAUUUCUCGUACAAUAACCUCUCCGGCCUCGUCCCUGGCACCGGCCAGUUCAGUUACUUCAAUGCGAGCUCCUUCGUCGGCAAUCCCGACCUCUGCGGCCCAUAUCUCGGCCCUUGCAGCUCUGCGAUUCAAGGCGCUGGCUCCACUCACACAAGGGGGCCGCUCUCGGCCUCCUUCAAGCUGCUGCUAGUCACCGGUCUCCUCAUCUGUUCCAUUGCCUUCGCCGUGGCCGCCAUCGUCAAAGCGCGGUCUCUGAAGAAGGCCAGCGAGGCCCGAGCGUGGAAGCUCACGGCUUUCCAACGCCUCGAGUUCACCUGCGACGACGUCUUGGAUUGCCUAAAGGAGGAGAACAUCAUCGGGAAAGGCGGGGCUGGCGUCGUGUACAAGGGUGUCAUGCCCAACGGUGAACAGGUGGCGGUGAAGCGGCUCCCAGCGGCGAUGAGCUGGGGCUCGUCGCGUGACCAUGGAUUCUCAGCCGAGAUACAGACUCUCGGGAGGAUCCGGCAUCGCCACAUCGUCAGACUACUAGGUUUCUGCUCGAACCACGAGACCAAUCUCCUGGUCUACGAGUACAUGCCCAAUGGGAGCCUCGGCGAGGUUCUUCACGGGAAGAAGGGCGGCCAUUUGCUCUGGCACACCCGUUACAAAAUUGCUGUGGAGGCGGCGAAGGGCCUCUGCUAUCUUCACCACGACUGCUCGCCUCUCAUCCUGCACCGGGACGUGAAGUCCAACAACAUCCUGCUCGAUUCGGACUUCGAAGCCCAUGUUGCAGAUUUUGGUCUCGCCAAGUUCUUGCAGGACUCCGGUACCUCGGAGUGCAUGUCCGCCAUAGCCGGUUCCUAUGGAUACAUUGCUCCAGAAUAUGCAUACACGCUAAAGGUGGACGAGAAGAGCGACGUCUACAGCUUCGGGGUGGUGCUUCUGGAGCUGGUGACCGGCAGGAAGCCGGUGGGCGAGUUCGGCGACGGCGUCGACAUCGUGCAAUGGGUGAGAAGGAUGACGGACUCGAGCAAGGAGGGCGUGCUGAAGAUUCUGGAUCACAGGCUCCCCACAGUGCCUCUGGACGAAGUCAUGCACGUCUUCUACGUCGCCAUGCUGUGCGUCGAGGAACAGAGCGUGGGGCGCCCAACGAUGAGGGAGGUCGUGCAGAUACUCACGGAUCUACCGAGGCCUGCGACGACACAGGGAGAUGACUGUGAGGCGCCCAUCAGGGAAGCACAGAGCUCAUCAUCACCACCACCAGAUCUCCUCAGCAUCUGAAACUUUUGCUCGUUGUUUUGGGUGCAGUGGCACCAUCUUCUUUGUACAUCCUUCAAAUGGUGGUCAUGGAUAUCAUCGAGAACAAGGUGCUAAAUAGAUCAUCAAAGCUUGGAAGGGCAAGCAAUGGUAGACUGUGAGUGACUACUUCGAUACAAUUGUUGGCGUGUAUGAAUGUUUCGGUUGCGCUCUCCCUGGUGAGGACGGGGAGCUGCGAUAUGACGAGUCACAACUCGAAAGCUGAAGUGGCCGAUGAUGAGUAGAUUCCUUGUCGGGCGGGUCCCAGUGCGGAGUUAAGAUCGGAAUUAGAUUUCGAAUGCGCGUUGACGCAUGUCGCGUCCGUCUUUGUCAACUCUCUGUCUGUAUGCUUGUGAAUACUGAUCGAGACAGUUAUAUUAUAAUGCAAUGUACAAGUAUCUAUAAGACAAAGAU